rnacentral:rRNA from 1 species
UACGUAGGCAGCAAGCGUUGUUCGGAAUUACUGGGCGUAAAGAGUGUGUAGGCGGUGUUCUAAGUCUGUUGUGAAAUCUCCCGGCUUAACUGGGAGGGUGCGCCGAAUACUGAAUGACUAGAGUGCGGGAGAGGAAAGUGGAAUUCCUGGUGUAGCGGUGAAAUGCGCAGAUAUCAGGAGGAACACCGGUGGCGAAGGCGGGUCUCUGGGCCGGAACUGACGCUGAGGAGCGAAAGCGUGGGGAGCGAACAGG